rnacentral:ncRNA from 1 species
ACCGGGAGAGACCGCUUUUUGCGGCGCCGAAGGGGCUGAAGAACUCUCAGGCAAAAGGACCGGUU